AAACGAGCGUGAUGUAAUAUUUUUAUCAUUGAAACAUAUCACGAACGGCGACUUCACCUAGUUCCCAAGCAAACAAAUCUUACACAAGAUGCAUUUUCAAUUUCGCGAUACGAUUUACAUCUCGAAGGCGUUUGGAAUAUAAUCGAAAUUCAUACGUGGCGAGUUGACAAACGAUUUACAUCUCAAAGCUACUUCCGAUGAAGUUACAAACGUGCAUAGAGCACUUCAUUUCCCUUGUUAUUGUGUAAUGGUAUUAUCCGAUAUUUACAUAUAAUUUAUCUCUUCUAAAUUUGCAGUUUACCAGUUUAUACUUCGUAGUAUCACGAGGAAACAGAGAAUAUUUAAAAAUCACGUAGAAAAUUGUCGCAUGCAUGGGCAGUCUAAUCAUAAAUCACUACUUCCCUGCGGUAUCAAGAAACUUAAGCAGCUUUUAUGUCUUAAGAACUUAAGCAGUUUUUGAAACGUGAAAAAUCGUAAGAAAAAGUAAAACUGAGAAAACUACUAAUCACUGUGGCAAAAGAUGGAAAACAGGUCACGGUGGUAAUUCGAAAGCAGACAUAAAACUAUUUUAGGGAUAAGUAUAUGCGGCUAAUAACCAAGCGUAAAAUUUCUUCCACACUUUAUACAUCUCUGACUUACUAACCCGUGCAACUCAAUUUCUUUUUCGACUCGUUGAUCUGGAUCUAUGGUAUACUAUGUGCACGCAGACUCGUGUUUAAUUCAUUCUUCAAUUCUACCAGGCCAGGAAACAACCAUUCAACGCACGUGAAAGUGUGUUUCUCUUCUUUCGUAGCAAUUCUACGCAAUUUUUACCGGGAGUAAAAGCGAAGUUAAACGUGACAGCGAAACAUUAAACUUCUUCGUUGCAACGUACAAAGAAAGAAUCGCUAGUGGAUCAGUGGAGCAUAUACGAAGCCGUAAAAAUCACUGGCAUCAAGCAGUCAGUACUCGUGGAAAAUAUAAUCUGGCCCGUUAAUGGCACGGCAAAGAAGAUCGCGGUUAUUAUUUUCCUGUGGAAAGGUUUCCUUAGGGGCAUCGUAGCCUGAUCCAAGAAUGCCUACGUUUUUCACCCAGGCAUUAAACAAACGAGGACAAUGAUCGUUUCGGAGGAAUUAUUUACGACCUUACGAACUAAAGUAGAUCAGAUGUAAAAUUUUACACCGAUUUCUACUUACUUCAGUGGGUAAUGUGCUAUUCUUUUGAGGAAAGAUAAAGGCCAUGUUCUUUGUGAACGCCCAAUUGCUGCGAACGCAAGGAAAAUUUUACAGGUUCGACAUUCCUUUUUAAUUAAUUCUUCGCUAAUAAGAUACGUGCGAAGCAUUCUUCGAUAUCAACACGUCAUAAGUAUAUGUUGUGCCGUCGGUGGAAGAGAUAUGUAUAAUGCUUAUGAUGAAAUCAUCAAAGUUUGCUUGUAUGAUUCAACAACCAAAAUAGCCAUCGGUGACAUAUAAAGGAAUAUACUGACUUAUACAUUUUGGUAAAUUGGAAUUCUAGAAAUACACGAUUUUCUACUUUUCACGUGAUUAUUCACGUGAUAUUACAAAGAAAUCUCAUAUGCCAAUCAUAUAAAUGACUUCUGCAGAUCCGAGAUUCCAGCUACCAACUACGUACAUAUACGUGCGACUAGAUCAACGUGUGUCACCAUGUAACGUAUUAAUUUACAAUCUCGUCGUAUCUCUUCGACCAACAGUAAAAGCAUAAUAAUAACGGUGCUGGAAAGUAGCAUUACUCAUAAAGAUAAUCAUUGUUGACAAAUCAAAGAUACAACGAGCAAAAAUCGUUCUACGAUUAAAGUAUCGCGACUUUCUGUUGCGUGUUGAGGCAAAUGAAAUUCAGAAUGUCACGCAACAGUGUAAAAUUUCGCUGUUGCGCACAGAUUGAUCGAAGAAAAAGGUGAAAUUCUCUUCGUCCCUUUUAAAUUAUGAAUAUGCAUUCGUGAAGUGUUUCAAGUCUCCUGCGAUUAAAUAAAUAGAAUUAUGUAUUUACGAUUUAACGAGAUUGCUCUUGAGAUAUAUUUUUCUUUACUAUAAGAAUUCCUUUUAGCAAGUGGUCGCAAACAAUCAUGGUGACAGAGAGGGCUUUUACGAUUCACACGAAUGUAAUUAAUAAGAUAGGUCGUUAAAUUUUUAAUUAGAAGCUGGACGGCCGUUAAUGGAAGGAAUUAUACGUUUCUCACUAUCAAUCUUCUCCUCGUACACGUAUGUAAAGAAGUUACGUACGUUUUACAACAUUUGCUGCUGCUUGCAGUCACGGCCAGCGUAUAAUCGAUCAAAGCCAGGAAAUAGCUUCCCCAAGUGCAGAAGUUUAAAUAUCCAACGCAGAAAGUUGACGAUUAUCCACAAUAUUUAUAACUUACACGUACAAGGAUUUUAUUGAAAUUGGAGUGUAACAAUAGUCGUUAAAUCCACAUAACCAGAAACAAAUUGUGCAAUAGUAAUUGAGAAUUCAGUAUGUACACGAUUCGGUUUGCAGGAGAGGAAAGGGGCUGAGAGGAUCGAGGUAAUUAUCAAUUUCCUGUCUAUCUUUCGGAAAUUAACUCGUUCAAUCAGGGUUCGAUCACUGGAACGACUUUCGAUCGUCAGGAUGUGAAACUCUACCAUUGAAGAUGAUUCCAUAGUAUGUAAAUGCAUACCAUAACGAAAAGGGAUUUCGUUCUACAAAAGUAAAAACGAAUACAACGAGAUUGUUAAGAAACGCGAUCACUCGAUAAAGUGAAGAAGGUCUCUCUGUGGAAAUGCGUCUGUUGAAUAACUGAUUAUUAGUCAACGUUGGCUUUUCUGGAAUCGAAGAUAUCACGAAAAGCAUUUGCAUUCGCGAUCAGAAAAAUAUGAAACCAAUGUACUCUUUGGCGAGUGUCAUAUCACGAAGUUCUAAAAAUACAUAUGUAAAUAUAUGAAAUUUUUUUUUCUUCUUGGAAUUAAUGAGGUCGCGAUUACAUGAAAAAUUACGUUUUCUCUUACACGCUACAAUCUGUGGUUUAAGUCUUUCGUAGAAUAUAAGAAAUAAGUCUCCUAACGUAUAUAACAAUACGAUUCUACUAAUAAUAAAAUGGAACACAGGAAUCGCUCUUUUUUUCAGUUUCUUAAACUGAACUAUUUAAGAGAUCUUCCACUGUUAUAAUUAUCUCCGAUUUAUUACACGUAAUCUUCUUUCAGAAAUAUUGAUAUUUAAAAAGCGUCUUGAUAUAAAUAUUUUCAAGAUUUCUUUAAUAUAUAAAAUCGAUUUACGGUAAAAUACGUAGAAAGUUAUACGAUCAAAUGCAUAAAUCUCAUGCAAUGAUAACUCGUUGAAUCGUUCAACUUGCUCUGAUACGUCCGUUUCGGUGAAUCAUUUUUUUCCAGAAAAGAACUGCUACCUACAUUUUUCCAGCGAGCUCAUGUUUGGAUAUACAAGUGACCAGUUCAACUUGCAUACGCCUUCUUUAUUUUAAUUCAGAACACGAUCGAUGAAUUAUCGGUUCCUUGAAAAUUUCGAUAUGAACCGUAAUUUAAGUUAUUUUCUUUGCAGAUACGGUCGUUGGAUUAUUUCACUCUUUGUCUGUGUAAUUCCAAAGACAUUUGUAUUAAUAAAAUGACGCUUUAAGUACGACUUGCUUCAAUUUCAGAUAAGCUUUCAACAACAAUGUGUAGCGUUCGUUGCAAUGUUCUGAUAAAUGUGAUGCAAACAUACUUAAGCCAUUUAUCCAGUGAGGUCAUAGCCAAGAGCAGAACAAGACAUUAUACAAUACUAAAAAUGACAGAACAAUGCUAAUGGUUACACUAUCUGCAUCCUUUCCCAAAUUAUAUCAUCUCGAUUCGAUUUAUCUACUUUACCUGUUCUCACGACAAUUAUGUCCAAAAUUUCAAUGAGAUUUAUUCAAGAUGAAAUUUUAAUUUUACAGCUAUUUUGAUUUGUAGAUAUCUAACAAGGUGAGAUACUUCUCCGGAUAAAUGUUAUAGUAAUUUUAAAUCACCGAUUAUAGCAACACAAAUGUAUAUGAUGUAUAAGCAAUUAUUUUAUCGCGGAAGAUUAUUUUUAAAACGCAUACUACUUUGAAGGAACUGGUUAAAGUUAAUACAGACUUGCACAAAGAAAUUGAAGUAAAUUACUAAACUUUUUUUUCUUGUAUUUCCAUUUUUGUGAAUGAGAACAUAUUUUAUGUUCAGAAGGUGUAUUUAACAAUAUAAGGUUACUAAAACUUAUUUAUGCUUCUCUUACAGGUGUUUAUUAUUAAUAACUAGAUUAUGGAUAUUUUUGCACACUCGUAUUUUUGUAAAUUUAAUUUACAAAAUGGAAGUUAGAUAGAAAAAAUACAUAAAUAUUUUCAGCUUUCUAAUAAAAUAAUGAAUGUCAAACUCUACGAGAGACACGUACUGGUUUGCUAUCUAUAUUAUAUAGAUUACAAAAUAUAUAAAAUAUAGAUAUUAUCAGAAGAAUGUGACCGUGGUACAACGGGGUUGACAUUAAGUUUUCUAUAACGCGUAUUAAGUGAUGUAAUUAAGUAAAUUGAGAGGGUCAUUGUCUAUUAGUGAAAACUAGAUCAGGCCUGCGCUGAACGAUUAAAAUAAAACUUACCAUUCAAUCGUGCCUGGUAAGUUUCGCGAAUUUUCAGGCUUGUCGAUCGAUAAAUCACAUUCGAGACAUUUCGUUAUCGAGAAUUUAUCAAGUAUAAAUCUGAUUAAAAAAUAAAGGGUCCAUUGUAUAAAAUU